rnacentral:tRNA from 1 species
UUAUUAUUUCUUUUAUUAUAA